AUACGGAGGGUCCGAGCGUUAUCCGGAAUCGUUGGGUUUAAAGGGUCCGUAGGCGGGAAUCUAAGUCAGUGGUGAAAUCUUGCAGCUCAACUGUAAAAUUGCCAUUGAUACUGGAUUUCUUGAAUUAGUGUGAAGUGGUUAGAAUGUGUAGUGUAGCGGUGAAAUGCAUAGAUAUUACACAGAAUACCAAUUGCGAAGGCAGAUCACUAACACUAUAUUGACGCUGAGGGACGAAAGCGUGGGGAGCGAACAGGAUUAGAAACCCUAGUAGUCC
rnacentral:rRNA from 1 species